UUUCUUUACUAUCAUUUAUUUGAAGGAAUUUGUUUUGGCCGUCGUCGUCGUGUUGCCGUCCUACAUGCUUAAGCUCGCUAUUAUUGUCUGAAGUGGAGGCAAAUAUCUCAGUGUACAUAAUUUAUUAAUACCAAAUCAUCUUACAUUAAGUUUAUAAUAAUCACUAAAAUCUUACAACAACUAAGAAUCUUGCAAUACAGAAUUGUGUUUGGUUGAAAAGUGUUGAUAUUCUUUUAAACUCGAAACAAAAACAAUGUCGAGUUUAAUUCAAGUACAUGCUCAAGAGCUUUUAAACUCGAAACAAAAACAAUGUCGAGUUUAAUUCAAGUACAUGCUCAAGAGGAUGUGUCGACUGAGUUCAUGUCAGUUAUCUACUAAAUAUACAAUUUAACUUUCAAUGAUGAUCUAAACCUACCCACAUGACAGAAAAAUAAAUCCCAAUUAGGAAAACCUAAAUAUAUAACAUUUUAUUUCUUAGUCGUUCACAAAAUCAAGAAAACUUCAUAACAGUGGCAGAGUGAUAUUUGUUAAAUGUGUUCUAUGCAGAAUUUCUACGUACUUCACUCUGAUCAAUGUAUGUUCGUGCGUAAAACAGAAGAAUCAAAAUUUAGUGCAACAACCAGUUUCCA
rnacentral:lncRNA from 1 species